rnacentral:lncRNA from 1 species
UCGACUACGAAGUCCGCGAACACCUGCCCCUUGAUCGGUCCUCGGGGCUCGUACUGAAUAUCGAAUUCCGACAAUUCUACUGCCCACUUGACCAUCCUUCCUGCCACAUCAGGUUUCUUCAAUACAUUCUGGAUAGGCAGAUCAGUCAUCACCACCACUGUGAAGCUGUGGAAAUAAUGCCUGAGUCUUCUGGCUGAGAAUACCACCGCUAGAGCAGCCUUCUCGAGG